GGGGAUGAACGGGUUUCGACGGGGAAGGCUGGUCACGGACGGCGAGCCGGGGCGCUCUGACCCCGUGAACAACGGAGCAAACCCAAAGUGCCAACACCUGGGCUGCUGUUCCCGUCGCCGCGUAAUGCGGCAGGGAUCGAUCUGGUCGCCUGAGCGAGCGGCUACGUCCGCCCCAUCCCCUCACCGACGGGCUGGGGGCCGGGCGUGACAAAGUCGGUGUGCGGCGGCCCGACGCCGAUACGGUCGCCUAAGGCUCAUCGGCUCGGCCCGGGUGCAGCGCGGUCGGCAGCGACUCCCCGGGCGACAGCGAAAGAGCCGACUACGCUCGUAGAAGUUCGUGGCCGAAUUCUCCGGACGCGGGUUCAACUCCCGCCAUCUCCACCU
rnacentral:tmRNA from 1 species